AAAAUUUUGACGUUUUAUAUGAAUUGUGCUGUGUUGAGCAACACGAACAAAGUGGCUCCGGGUGGAACUGUUUGCUUGAAUGUCGGGCUAUGUCCUGAAGGAUAACAUUGCAUAAAGACGCAAUAAGAAGGUAUGUGAGUGAAGGACUAAUCGAAAUGAUAUAGCAGUCCAACCUAAUGAUGUAAAUUUCCUAACCAGUGAAGGAGAUAGCGAAUAAGAGCAACAUAGUGAUAACGGACUGAAGAUCGGAUUGAAGCCAUUUUCUUCUGCGGACGAGGAGCGUGGUGACUGGUGUGUUGACAUCAUGAAUGUGGGCACGGCUCACAGCGAGGUGAACCCCCAACACGCGGGUGAUGAACAGCCGGCUCUCAACAUCUGACUCUCCUACCUCCUGGGCAUCGGCCUGUUGCACGUCACCCUGCUCAGCAUCCCCUUCGCUAGCGUACCCUCAUCAACAUCAUACACAACCUGGAACUCCAUUUGAGACUCCCGACCAGAGCAAGGCCCGCUUCUACACAUACUGGGAGCAGAUUGACUAUUGGUGUCCAGUUUACUGCCUCACGCAAGUUCCUCACCAUCACCCCCAUCGUCCUGUUAGGACUCCCUACAGUACCAUACUCUGCACUGUUUUAUGUCAUUACUGUUUUAUACUUAUAAACUAAUAGUCUAUUUACUACUUAGAAACCCUUUAUAAAGUAUAAUUCAAUGCAAAGUGGCUACAUUGGUAUUUAAGGAGGAAAAGGACUGACAAGUGAAACCUAUUCUUUAAGCAUUGUUUGUUUCCCUGCUGUCCUUGUUAAUGACUUCAGUGUCCUCCCAGCAGCCUCUUCCAUCCAGUCUGUGGGCAGUGGGAGUCUGGACUGUUGUGGUGCCUGCUGUGCUUGCUGGCAGUGAAGGCCCUAGUCCUUCAUUCUUUCUUGGACCUACCCUUACCUUCUCUCCCUCCUACAUUCUUCCUCUCCCCCUAGCUACAACCUCACCAGCUUCUACACCAAAUACGACCAGGACCACUUUGUGGUCAACGCGGUCUCCCUGAUGACUGUGCUCAUUCCCAAGCUCCCCCAGCUUCACGGAGUCCCGAUCUUAUGGGAUUAACAAGUACUGAUGGGACGGAAGGGGACACCGCCAUCUCCCUGUGGACUGUGAGCACAGAGUAUCAGGCCCCGGCCCCAUAGGGAUGCAUGGUCCCGCUCUGUCUCCCAAUGCUAUUUGAGCACAAUGCUAAAUGAAGCCUAUGGGGGAUACACAAGACAAAAACUGUAACACAGAGGCAGAAUUGAUUUACUGUAACUGCACAGGGCAGUUCCUAUGUGUUCCCAUUGAAGCUGUGCUGUGGCGUUUAUUUGUGGUUCUCUUCAUGUCAGAGCUGUUUGAAUUCACAGAGAACACUGCAAGGGAGGCCUUUGAGGACAUACAGUAGUAUGAAAUGUUUUUAGAUCCAGUUACAACGUGGAGAGGAGAGAACUCUGAACGGUUUGGUCCUGAGAGAAAUGAGACGGAGACAUUUUGCACCCAGGGGGACAUUUUGAAAGUUAUGGCACUCCGCUAUGGACGAUGCCCUCUAGAAUUACAACUCUACCUUUAUUUUGCAUCUGUUCCUCAAAAGGCUCAUCUUCUCUUUGUGUCUUAAGAAAGGACAGAUAGCUAGAGGGAGGGUUAGCUCGGGAGUUGCUCUGACUGUCGCAGUGGUCAGACAAGAGGGAACAACAGAAUGACGGUUUGUGCUGUUUGUGCCGUCAUUCUUUUACCAAAAUUCGCACCUGCACUGUUCUUCAAGUAAAUGUGGUUUUGUAUAAUUUUAAGUGUACAUUUUUAAAAGUAGUCCCGGUGUAAAACAUGUUAAUGUACUACUUAAGUAGUUUUUUGGGGUAUCUGUACUUUAUUUUUGCUUUUACUUCACUACAUUCCUAAAGAAAAUGAUUUACUUUUUACUCCAUACAUUUUCCCUGACAGUAUGUGUUACAUUUUGACAGGAAAAUGGUCCAAUUCACACACUUAUCAUGUCACGUUCUGAUCUCCGUUCCUUUGUUUUGUCUCUGUUUUAGCACAGUCAGGGCGUGAGUUGGGGUGGGCUGUCUAUGUUCCUUUUUCUAUAAUUUGGGAUUUCUGUGUUUGGCCUGGUAUGGUUCUUAAUCAGAGGCAGCUGUCAAUCGUUGUCCCUGAUUGAGAACCAUACUUAGAUAGUCUGGUUUCACUUUUGAGUUGUGGGUGAUUAUUUUCUUUUCUGUGUUUUAUUUCACCGUUCAGGACUGUUUGUUUUGUCGUUUUAUUGUUUUUGUUUCAGUGUUCACAAUUAAUAAACCAAGAUGAACACUUACUACGCUGCGCUUUGGUCCUCUCCUUCAUACGACGACUGUUACAUAUCAAGAGAACAUCCCUGGUCAUCCCUACUGCCUCUGAUCUGGCGGACUCAAUAAACUCAAAUGCUUCGUUUGUAAAUUAUGUCUGAGUGUUGUAGUGUGCCCUUGGCUAUCCAAAAAUAAAUAAAA